rnacentral:rRNA from 1 species
GAUGAACGCUGGCGGCGUGCUUAACACAUGCAAGUCGAACGGAAAGGCCCAAGCUUGCUUGGGUACUCGAGUGGCGAACGGGUGAGUAACACGUGGGUGAUCUGCCCUGCACUUCGGGAUAAGCCUGGGAAACUGGGUCUAAUACCGGAUAGGACCACAUUUUGGAUGGUGUGGUGGAAAGUUUUUCGGUGUGGGAUGAGCUCGCGGCCUAUCAGCUUGUUGGUGGGGUAAUGGCCUACCAAGGCGUCGACGGGUAGCCGGCCUGAGAGGGUGUACGGCCACAUUGGGACUGAGAGACGGCCCAGACUCCUACGGGAGGCAGCAGUGGGGAAUAUUGAACAAUGGGCGCAAGCGUGGUGCAGCGACGCCGCGUGGGGGAUGACGGCCUUCGGGUUGUAAACUCCUUUCGCUAGGGACGAAGCGUUAUGUGACGGUACCUGGAGAAGAAGCACCGGCUAACUACG